UGGGGAAUUUUGGACAAUGGGCGAAAGCCUGAUCCAGCAAUGCCGCGUGCAGGAAGAAGGCCUUCGGGUUGUAAACUGCUUUUGUACGGAACGAAAAGGCUCUUUCUAAUAAAGAGGGCCCAUGACGGUACCGUAAGAAUAAGCACCGGCUAACUACGUGCCAGCAGCCGCGGUAAUACGUAGGGUGCGAGCGUUAAUCGGAAUUACUGGGCGUAAAGCGUGCGCAGGCGGUUCUAUAAGACAGAUGUGAAAUCCCCGGGCUCAACCUGGGAAUGGCAUUUGUGACUGUAGAGCUAGAGUACGGUAGAGGAGGAUGGAAUUCCGCGUGUAGCAGUGAAAUGCGUAGAUAUGCGGAGGAACACCGAUGGCGAAGGCAAUCCCCUGGACCUGUACUGACGCUCAUGCACGAAAGCGUGGGGAGCAAACAGGAUUAGAUACCCCCGUAGUCCCUGAGCGGGCUGGCAAGGCGCAU
rnacentral:rRNA from 1 species